UUGUUUAGAAAAAAAAAAAUUCAAAUGUCUUUGAACUGGGGCUUAUUACUCAUUAUGUUAAUCUUUAGUCUUGAGCAUAAGCCAAGCACUUAGACUCUUGGAGCUUCAAGACUUCCCAUCAUGCUUUGCCAGGACUCACACUGUCCCCCAUAAGCCACUACAAUAAGCUUUAAGCUACUAAUUGUCAGGUCAGGAGGUAAACAGCCCUGCAGAUACACUCAUUCUUCUACUAGUGCUUUUGUUUCAAUUUUAAUUCAAUCAUGGAAAGUUCACAAUGACAAAGCAAGAAGACAGACACAGUCAUGUUGUUACUCCUUCAGGCCAAAUAUGUGCUAUUGUGCAUUAGUUUGGGGUAAACAGAGAAAAUGUUGGCAUUUUAGAUACAUUUUUAAAAUAAUGUUGUUCUGAUCGACUACCCCUUAUUUAAAGGCUACACUUUUAAGGCCAAUAAAAAUAAUACAAUAAUCAUUCUUAGUAUUUUUUUAAAAAAACACUCUGUCGCUAAAUUAAAUCAAAAUAAGUCUUACUAUUACCAAAAAGAAUUACUAAUAAGAAAGUCUGAAACUGCAUCUCCACCUCCACAGUGGCUAAAAAUAUACUCCACACCAUGUAUGAAGUGAAUCCUUGGAUCUAAAAGGAUGUCUGGAUCCAGAUCAGUUUGUGACAUUUUUGUGGAAACAUCAAGAUAACGUCUCUCAAAUUUGCUUAGAUAAAUCUGACAUACAUUUGUGAAACAAUGAUCUCACAAGUGCAAUUUUGUUCUCUGCGCCAUAACGAUUUGCUAACAAACAAACCAAACCAACCACAUAACCCCUCUGAUUAUUGUAUUUAGUCAUGAGGACAAAGUCCUUUUACGUGCAUGAGGAAGACGUUUGGGAAGACAAAUGAGUCACCAGAUAAAGAUGAUACCAGCUUUAAUAAGCAGUCAAAUGAUCUGGAGUUUAAAUAUCCGAGAUGAGCUUUGGAAGCAGUAGGCCUAAAAAAAAUCUGUUAAUAUUUAAUUUUCUUUCUUUUUUUUCCCAAGCUAAAAGCGAAAUCCCUUUUUGACACCAUACAGGAAUAGGUUCUUCUAACACAUGAAGGUUGUAAUGUCGCCCAACAGGAAAAACAAAGCUUGGACUUGGAUGCUCACAUACACAAGGUUUUCUCCCAGAAUGGAUUUGAAGGCACCAAAAAAGGGCCCGAAACUUUUCGUUCUUCCUCUUUUUUAAAGGGUCUUUAUCUUCCAUAUUUGUCCUCUAUAAUUUUGUUUGUUUCUGUUUUUACAUGGCUUUAUUUGUUUUUAACAUGCGCUACAUAACAGGAUAGUUCACCUUUCUUACGGUUAAGAGGGCACUGUGUGCCUCUGUACAGAACAGCGUCAGAGCAUCAACACCGAAGACGUGCCGAAAACGACGGUACUGCACUUGGAGGCUCCGCACGGCCACAGGGAGGUGGCCGAGCUCCUGCUGGGGUGCGGUGCAAACGUCCUCUCCCACAGCGAGUUCGACAUGAUGGAUCCCAGGAACACUGAGCUGAACAUACUGCUACAGGUGGAUGGAUGGAGGACAGCUUACAGAACCAGGAACAACAACAUCUACAUCAUCAUCCAUGCUGGUGGGAUUGUCAACAUUUCAGAAUUGGGCCUCCACUUCCAGCAAGAUCAUGGCAUGUACACACACAAUGGAAUAUGUGAAAAGACACCUAAAGAGACUUAUCACAUUAUCUCGAGAGAUAAAAAAUGAUCUCUGACAACAAACAAGAAACAAAAAUUAAAAGUUACUGAACAGUAACUGAGAACUGUUAAACAGAACAAUUAAGAAUAAUGUGACGAAAUCAGAAAAUGUUCUUGGAAGGAAAUGCUUUCAACAGCUAACAUUCAUUUAGAGCAGCAAUCAUUCGCUUACACCUGUGAGAAUAGAAGAACAUCAAAAAUGUUAGUAUGCACAGCUUAAUCCCUUUUUCCCCAUUGUGGUUGUGUAACAGUCUGGCUUUGUUUCAUUUUUGUACGGCAGCAAAGUGCUGGAGUGGUCCUUCGUGGCUGUUAUCUAACAAAGCUAGCCAACUGUUGUCUUCAGACAAGUUAGAGAACACUGUGGCUGCUGAGCGGGUGGAAAUAAUUCUUCAGCAUGGAUGCACAAUGGUGGGCAAAAGGUCAUCUCUCUACUGGUGAACCAGCAACCAGGAGCCAGCAGCUGUGGGCCAACAGUUCAUCCUCACCCUGCAGUGGCAGCAGAGUGAGUGGGCUAUUUAUGUGUUCAGUGCUUUUGAAUACUGAUUAGGAGGUAAGGGAGAUCAGACAUGCACUGAAAUUAUAAUAAUUGUAGCUAGUUUUUGGUCAGCGCCUUUGGAAAAAACCCCUCAAAAAACAAAAGACAGCACAAUUAGUGGACUAAAACGUGAUAACUAUUAAACACAUUAAAAUGGGACACUAUGGAGAAUGCAAGCAAAAUAGAGAAACUGAUACAGAAUACCAAUCUCUCAGUGAUGAUUUCCCAGUAGCGUGUCUGACAAUCUCAAGGUGACAUUCACUUUAAAGUGAGAGUGAGAAAACUUGUCUUCUUCUUCCUUUUUUAAAGGAAAGUUAAAUUCAGCAUAGAGCUUGUCUUAGAGUUCAAAGACUAAUUGUUACAAAAUAUUUUCAUCCCUAAAGGGGAUCAUGCUCUGAAAGAGGUUAAGAAUUACUGAUACAUUAUACACUUUUUUCCCCAGAAGAAAAGGAUGCAGGUUUCUGGUAAUACUUUAUGUUAAAGCUUUAUUCCUGCAGAAGUCAACAGAUCAAUAAGCUGAAGGAAAAAGUUGUUUCAUUAGUGUUUCACACUGAGUCUGCAGAAGAAGCAGUGGGCAGACUUUUAAUGAGCUUCAUCAUUUAAUCACAUCAAGAUGACUUGUCAUUUUAAA